rnacentral:lncRNA from 1 species
GCGCUCUUAGCCAUGCUGGAGGAACGGAGUGUCAACAAAUUCACUUGGCGAUCAAAAGUGAAGCAGAAGCAGCGUUCCCAGGUCCUGUCUUCGGCUUCACCGUGUCAUCGUGACGUCAGUGCAGAGCCUCCUCGCGGUGCCGGGCUGCGCCGUGGCGCUCAGAGAGGGAGGAGCGGCCCGGCCCGGCCCCGGGCGCUCCCGCCGGAGGCAGCGGCGCGGCCGCACAAUGCGGACACCCCG